rnacentral:rRNA from 1 species
GCUCAGAUUGAACGCUAGCGGGAUGCCUUACACAUGCAAGUCGAACGGCAGCACGGACUUCGGUCUGGUGGCGAGUGGCGAACGGGUGAGUAAUGUAUCGGAACGUGCCUAGUAGCGGGGGAUAACUACGCGAAAGCGUAGCUAAUACCGCAUACGCCCUACGGGGGAAAGCAGGGGAUCGCAAGACCUUGCACUAUUAGAGCGGCCGAUAUCGGAUUAGCUAGUUGGUGGGGUAACGGCUCACCAAGGCGACGAUCCGUAGCUGGUUUGAGAGGACGACCAGCCACACUGGGACUGAGACACGGCCCAGACUCCUACGGGAGGCAGCAGUGGGGAAUUUUGGACAAUGGGGGAAACCCUGAUCCAGCCAUCCCGCGUGUGCGAUGAAGGCCUUCGGGUUGUAAAGCACUUUUGGCAGGAAAGAAACGUCAUGGGUUAAUACCCCGUGAAACUGACGGUACCUGCAGAAUAAGCACCGGCUAACUACGUGCCAGCAGCCGCGGUAAUACGUAGGGUGCAAGCGUUAAUCGGAAUUACUGGGCGUAAAGCGUGCGCAGGCGGUUCGGAAAGAAAGAUGUGAAAUCCCAGAGCUUAACUUUGGAACUGCAUUUUUAACUACCGAGCUAGAGUGUGUCAGAGGGAGGUGGAAUUCCGCGUGUAGCAGUGAAAUGCGUAGAUAUGCGGAGGAACACCGAUGGCGAAGGCAGCCUCCUGGGAU